UACACUCCUGCGGGAGGCAGCAGUGGGGAAUUUUGGACAAUGGGGGCAACCCUGAUCCAGCAAUGCCGCGUGAGUGAAGAAGGCCUUCGGGUUGUAAAGCUCUUUUGUCAGGGAAGAAACGGUGGUGGCGAAUAACUACUACUAAUGACGGUACCUGAAGAAUAAGCACCGGCUAACUACGUGCCAGCAGCCGCGGUAAUACGUAGGGUGCAAGCGUUAAUCGGAAUUACUGGGCGUAAAGCGUGCGCAGGCGGUUGUGUAAGUCAGAUGUGAAAUCCCCGGGCUCAACCUGGGAAUUGCAUUUGAGACUGCACGGCUAGAGUGUGUCAGAGGGGGGUAGAAUUCCACGUGUAGCAGUGAAAUGCGUAGAUAUGUGGAGGAAUACCGAUGGCGAAGGCAGCCCCCUGGGAUAACACUGACGCUCAUGCACGAAAGCGUGGGGAGCAAACAGGAUUAGAUACCCGAGUAGUCCCAUGAU
rnacentral:rRNA from 1 species